rnacentral:misc_RNA from 1 species
GAUGAAGAACGUAGCGAAAUGCGAUAAGUAGUGUGAAUUGCAGAAUUCAGUGAAUCAUCGAAUCUUUGAACGCACAUUGCGCCCUUUGGUAUUCCAAAGGGCAUGCCUGUUCGAGCGUCAUUUGUACCCUCAAGCUUUGCUUGGUGUUGGGCGUCUUGUCUCUAGCUUUGCUGGAGACUCGCCUUAAAGUAAUUGGCAGCCGGCCUACUGGUUUCGGAGCGCAGCACAAGUCGCACUCUCUAUCAGCAAAGGUCUAGCAUCCAUUAAGCCUUUUUUCAACUUUUGACCUCGGAUCAGGUAGGGAUACCCGCUGAACUUAAGCAUAUCAAAAGCGGAGGA